rnacentral:lncRNA from 1 species
CUCCCCCCGCGUCUUCAGAGGAGCGCUGUUUCUGGAGGAGUUAGGGGAAGGAGGCUGCCUGGUAAGCCAGGAAAGGGGCUUCUGGCCGUUCUGUUGGAGCGCCUCUGACUGACUUCCCCCAUGUGUCCGUGUGGCCACACCGUGCUACUUUCAGAGGCAGUGGGCUUUUCGCUAAGGGAUAAAAAGAAGUAAAACCUUGCCUUUAGCGCAGCUCUCCUUCACUGGGCAGAUUGCUCUCCCUCCCCACUCUCCCAGGCCCAAAUUGGAUCUCAGCGCCUGGGAGCUCCAACUUUAGCAAGUGCGAAAUCCUGUCUUCGGUUUUGGAAUUUUCAUCCGCACAGACUAUAUCAGCCACGGAUAGGAUAUGUGAGAAUACCAGCAUGUCAAGGCUGGGAAUCAUCCUUAGGCAUCACCUAGCCAGUCCUGCCUCUCAUUUUAAGGUGAGGAUUCCUUCAUCUCUGUGACUGGCUUGCUUGAUGGUUAGGGUCUGAUCGCUGCCUGAGACACCAUAUCGGUACUCCUCAGAGUUGGUGAUCACAGGAUCUGGUUUGCCACUGAAAGGAAUCUUGAUGCUGACCACUUCACCUCGGAGAGCAUGAACUGCUCCCAUGCCUUCAAGAGUUUUAGUGGGUAACCAGGAUGGAACUGCGGUGUUGCUUGCAGGAGAAGCUUACUACUGGUUUCUACUUCUCCAACCUCAUUGGUGGCUAUGCAGGCACUGUCUCCAGACUGUCUAUAUUCAACCCAGUAUCCAAGAAUUUCUUUACCACCAUCACAUUCAGGUUUCUCCCACUGUAGAGUGACACUAUCUUUGGAUAUUGAAAGAAUCUCAAGUUCUCCUGGUUGGCUUGGUUUAUCUGAAAUAUUUUAAAAUAAUGAAAAGGGAGUCAGCUUUACUGGUGAAAUAAAAGGACCAAACAUGGCUUGCUUCUUUAAUUUAACCCCUUCUUCUGAAUUCCUUACCAAAUGGAUCUUUGCAAACAACUGGUUCAGAAGCAGGGCUGGUCUCACUCAGGCCAACAUCAUUCUGUGCGAUGAUGCGGAACUGAUACUCAGCAUCGGGAACAAGCCCUGUGACAGUGUACAUUGUGGUGGUGAUCUGAGUCUUGUUGUGUCUGACCCACUUGUCAGUGGAUGUCUCUUUGC